rnacentral:rRNA from 1 species
AUGCACGCUGGCGGCGUGCCUAAUACCUGCCAGUCGAGCGAACAGACGAGGAGCUUGCUCCUCUGACGUUAGCGGCGGACGGGUGAGUAACACGUGGAUAACCUACCUAUAAGACUGGGAUAACUUCGGGAAACCGGAGCUAAUACCGGAUAAUAUAUUGAACCGCAUGGUUCAAUAGUGAAAGACGGUUUUGCUGUCACUUAUAGAUGGAUCCGCGCCGCAUUAGCUAGUUGGUAAGGUAACGGCUUACCAAGGCAACGAUGCGUAGCCGACCUGAGAGGGUGAUCGGCCACACUGGAACUGAGACACGGUCCAGACUCCUACGGGAGGCAGCAGUAGGGAAUCUUCCGCAAUGGGCGAAAGCCUGACGGAGCAACGCCGCGUGAGUGAUGAAGGUCUUCGGAUCGUAAAACUCUGUUAUUAGGGAAGAACAAAUGUGUAAGUGACUAUGCACGUCUUGACGGUACCUAAUCAGAAAGCCACGGCUAACUACGUG